rnacentral:misc_RNA from 1 species
GAUGAAGAACGCAGCGAAAUGCGAUAACUAAUGUGAAUUGCAGAAUUCCGUGAAUCAUCGAGUCUUUGAACGCACAUUGCGCCCGCCAGUAUUCUGGCGGGCAUGCCUGUUCGAGCGUCAUUUCAACCCUCAAGCCCCAGCGGUUUGGUGUUGGGGACCGGCGAGUACAGAGGCUUUGGGGACUUGUCCCCCUUCCCUCGGCGCCGCCCCCGAAAUGAAUUGGCGGUCUCGUCGCGGCCUCCUCUGCGUAGUAGCACAACCUCGCAUCAGGAGCGCGGCGCGGCCACUGCCGUAAAACGCCCAACUUUUUUUAAGAGUUGACCUCGAAUCAGGUAGGAAUACCCGCUGAACUUAAGCAUAUCAAUAAGCGGAGGA